ensembl:lincRNA
UAAAAGGGAAUUUUAAAAAGCCUUCUUAUGAAAGUUGUCAAGUUGAAAUAUGUUUAUAUGAAUAUUUUUCAGGUGGAAGUGAAUCCUCCUGGGAUAAAGAUAAGAUGCAGUCUCCAUUUGCUGCACCUGGACCCCAACAUGGAAUUGCUCAUGCAGCCCUAGCUGGCCAGCCAGGCAUUGGGGGUGCUCCAACCCUCAAUCCACUGCAGCAGAACCACCUGCUAACCAACAGACUGGAUCUGCCAUUUAUGAUGAUGCCUCAUCCCCUACUUCCAGUCAGCUUACCUCCUGCAUCAGUUGCCAUGGCAAUGAAUCAGAUGAACCAUCUCAAUACUAUUGCCAACAUGGCUGCUGCAGCACAGAUUCACAGUCCACUCUCCAGAGCUGGUACCUCUGUUAUAAAGGUAAGAAUCGUGAUUUAGAAAAGGACAAAGGUGUCAAUUUCAUGCAAAUUUUGUUAAAAUAUUUACAAUCCCACUGGAUCUUCAGUAGUAACUCAGCUCAUUGACUCAGUUAGUUAGCAUACAGUAUUGAUGGGUUUAGUUUGUGACUAGGCCUGCCAGAUUUUUUGUUGUUUGUUUGUUUUCAUUCCAUGACCACAGAUCUCACUUUUAAUUCUAUUUCCUGUGUUGCAAUCAUGUGCACAGUGUGGGGGAGGCAUGGGCAGACUAAUGACAGAGUAGAAGAGUGUGCAAAAACCAUUCCCAUAGCUGGGGUGAAACAAAGUAAACACUGUGCAUCUUUUUGGAGUUUGAGAGACAGUUAUGAGGUAUGAUAUAACAUACAGGACUUAUAGUCAGACAGAUUUGGGUUCCAAUUCUGAUUUGCAACUUAGCUGAAUGAACUUGGGUAUGACAGCCCUCCUGAACAUGUUUCCUCAACUAUAAAAUGAAGGUCAUAGUUAAUAAUCUAUGCUGCUUAUUUCAUGGGCUGUCUGGAGAUAAUAUGAGUAAAAUAUAUGUAAAAACCUGUAAAACAUUAACAAUAUUUAUGAUAAUAUAUUGCAUUAACAUUAUAAUGUUAGAAUACUAUUUUUCAAGUUUAUGGGCAUUGGAUAAUGAAACACAAAGGAUAUUUCGUAGCUACCCCUUCUUUUUCCUCUUAGUUUGGCAUAUGGCUUUUCUGCUCUCUUUCCAAUUAUCAUAUGAACUAUGCUUUUGAAUGCUUUUUCUUCUUGUGAGGAGGUGAUAUAUGGGUACAUAGGAUCCCAAGAUUUUAGUCAGAAACCCAUUGAUUUCCUCCUUUAUUCCUUCACUUACUCAACAAAUAUUAUACCCUUAAUAAUUACAUGCCAGGUUAUUGAGCAAUAUGGGAAAUUUAUAAGUAAGAUAUACACCUUGACUUCCAGGAGCUCCCAAACAUAAAUGUGAGACAAACAAGUACCCACUUAAUUUGUACUAACAAGACAGACUAUGAUGGAUAACAUAGGAGAACCACCAAGUAUUACAGGAAUUUAGAGGAAGGAGUGAUUUUAUCUACCUUUAAGAAGAGAGGAGGCGGGGAUCUGGGAAGGCUUUAUAGUUGAUGGAUUUCAACUGAGCCUUGCAAUAUUGAUAUGAUUGUAAUAGAAAGGCAUGGAGGUGAAAGAACUGAAGGCAGAGGAAAUGUGACAUUUUGGACAUAUUUGUUUCAUUUUAAAAUCAGCUUGUAAUUUUGGAGCCUUCUAAAGCACUGAAGAAAAUUUAAAGCAUAACCUUUGUAAGAAAGGAACAGAAAAAUUGAUCAUUUUUAUAAAGCUUCAUCUAUAUAUUUAAAACACCAAGUGGAAGCAUGCUUCCUGGAAAGACUGGUUACAGACUUCACCGCUACACAAAUUCCCUGGCAACAAAACUGCACUGGUAUCCCUGAAUCAAUAAAAAAA